AGGACCCGGGGGAAAACCCACACGAGCACGAGGAGAACAUGAACUCCGCACAGAAAUGCCGACUGGGUAGCUGGGUGGAGACCCGAACCAGAGGCAUUCUUGCUGUGAGGCCGCAGUGCUAGCCACUGGGCCGCCGUGCUGCCCUAUAGAUAAAGACAGGAGGAGAGGGGGGGUCCUUCAAGACAAAGAUGACUGAAGAAAAGAGGGCACUGAACCAUUUCUCUUGUCCCCCAUAUCGGAAGGCUUGCAGAUAAACAGAUGGAAGAAAGGAAUGAAAAAUAAUAGUUGACUUCUCAUGUGGAAGGUCUCAGCACAUACCUCUAAGCCUCCAAAUGCCCGACUCCCACUUGUAUCCGGGGAUUUGAGUUCAUAUGUGACAUCUUUGCACGAAGCACGCUGUGGCAGGAGGCCAGCAAGACCAGCAAACAGAAGGGCACAGGAAGGAAGAAGGGAGCAUGUUAUCGCAUCUGCAGGAAGCGGCCCGGCUCUCAGCAAAGAUGCCAAUAUCAAUCGGGUUUACCCAGCACUCAUAUCUCGUAAAAUGCAAAUGCCGUUCCUCUGAGCCGUGAACCUUAAUUAGAGCAGAAUUACGCAAAUCAAAUAUUGUUUUAUAUAUUACGGCGUGA